GCCAGCGUAGCUCAGUUGGUAGAGCAAUUGACUUGUAAUCAAUAGGUCAUCGGUUCGACUCCGAUCGCUGGCUCCA
rnacentral:tRNA from 1 species